UAAUACGGAGGGUGCAAGCGUUAUCCGGAUUCACUGGGUUUAAAGGGAGCGUAGGCGGGCAGGUAAGUCAGUGGUGAAAUCCCCGAGCUUAACUUGGGAACUGCCGUUGAUACUAUCUGUCUUGAAUAUCGUGGAGGUAAGCGGAAUAUGUCAUGUAGCGGUGAAAUGCUUAGAUAUGACAUAGAACACCAAUUGCGAAGGCAGCUUACUACGCGGUUAUUGACGCUGAUGCUCGAAAGCGUGGGGAUCAAACAGGAUUAGAUACCCUGGUAGUCCACGCCCUAAACGAUGGAUACUCGACAUUUGCGAUACACUGUAAGUGUCUGAGCGAAAGCAUUAAGUAUCCCACCUGGGAAGUACGACCGCAAGGUUG
rnacentral:rRNA from 1 species